rnacentral:misc_RNA from 1 species
AGCUGCGAAUUCGAUGCAUGGGAACUUGUAUUUGUUCUGAAGAUUCAGUUGAGAUGCUUGACAAUCAAUGUUCCCUAAAACAUGUCCAGCAUUCUCCCCCUCAACAUAGCCUCCGCUUUCCUUACCUGUUUCACUGGUCCAAUUAUGAAUACCUUGUCUGGUGGACCCUUUGCACCCCCAGUGAAAAUUUCCGCAUUGCAAGAUUCCUUUAUUGACACAAUGGAGGCCCCUCGUCUUCCAAUAACACGUCCCAUCUUUCCAGGGGGAACAUCGAGAACUGAAAGGAUUUCCUCCUCAGGAUUAUUACCCUCCGCUAUAAGGUUAUCUGGAAUGGGAGGGACAGAUGGCCAAUCAGCAAAAUCAUUGUCAUUGAUGCAGAAACAUCGGCAAUGCAGAGCACUGCGAACUGCUAGGUACCAUAAGGAUCUUGGGUUUAGUUUCUUCAUCAUUUUAUGAUAGAUAUAAAGAAGAAAUCGAACAUCAUCUGAAGCCGCACGGAUCAUCAUGUUGGACAAUGGUCUAUACAUCCAGAAAUUAGGAUCCUGUCGAAGGAGCACACGAACCUCUUCCUUCUCCAAAUAUGAUAUGCCACAAUAGCGUGGAUCUGCAAGGAGGCCAACAAAAGAUAUAUAGUCAUCCGGCAAUCUAGUCCGUCCUUCUUGCUCCUCUAUCAGAGAAUAAGCAAUCUGGGUAUCAAAAAUAUUGUGCAACUUGAUGCCAAACUGAAAGUACAAUGCCUCACUGUCUCGCUUGCAAUCGUGAAUAAUUUUUGUGAUGUAAGCAGAUUCAAGUGCAGGCUUACAGGCUUUCAUAAGCAUAUCUCCACCCUGAAUGGCAUCAACCAAAAAUAUAGCAUCUGGAAAAGCAAGCUGCAUAAUACAAAGAGUUCCAUGGCAACACAGGUCAACACCCUCACAAUCAAACCCAAUGAUCAAUUGCCGCUCAGGUGAAGGGUUAAGGAAUUCAGCUGGAAGUUGAGAAGCCUCAGUAACAAGAUGAACAGGAACCAGUGAUGAUUGGGCUUCAUGGUCUAGGGGUUUAGCACCAGGGUCUGAGUCCGAGGGGAAAGGAAUGCGUGUGUCAUGGGAAGAAGAAGAGGAGGCCAUCUGACAGAACCAACCAGACUUUCUCAAGUUUGCUUUUCUUCUUCCCUCUAGGUUCUUG